UACAGAGGUCUCAAGCGUUGUCCGGAAUCAUUGGGCGUAAAGAGCGUGUAGGCGGCCUUUUAAGUCCUGCGUGAAAUCCUGCGGCUCAACCGCAGACGGUCGUGGGAAACUGGAAGGCUAGAGUGCGGGAGAGGAGAGUGGAAUUCCCGGUGUAGCGGUGAAAUGCGCAGAUAUCGGGAAGAACACCCGUGGCGAAGGCGGCUCUCUGGAACGCAACUGACGCUGAGACGCGAAAGCGUGGGGAGCAAACAGG
rnacentral:rRNA from 1 species